rnacentral:rRNA from 1 species
CGGAGGGGCUAGCGUUGUUCGGAAUUACUGGGCGUAAAGCGCACGUAGGCGGCCGUUUAAGUUAGAGGUGAAGCCCGGGGCUCAACCCCGGAAUUGCCUUUGAUACUGGACGGCUUGAAUCCGGGAGAGGUGAGUGGAAUUCCGAGUGUAGAGGUGAAAUUCGUAGAUAUUCGGAAGAACACCAGUGGCGAAGGCGGCUCACUGGACCGGCAUUGACGCUGAGGUGCGAAAGCGUGGGGAGCAAACAGGAUU